CGGCGCGCCUAAACAUGCAAGUCGAACGAGAAAGCAGGAGCAAUCUUGUGAGUAAAGUGGCGUACGGGUGAGUAACACGUGGAUUAUCUACCUUCUAGUGGGGGAUAACCCUGGGAAACCGGGGCUAAUACCGCAUAAGCUCGAGAGAGGAAAGCAGCAAUGCGCUGGAAGAGGAGUCCGCGGCCGAUUAGCUAGUUGGUAGGGUAAAGGCCUACCAAGGCUACGAUCGGUAGCCGGCCUGAGAGGGCACACGGCCACACUGGCACUGAAACACGGGCCAGACUCCUACGGGAGGCAGCAGUGGGGAAUCUUGCACAAUGGGGGCAACCCUGAUGCAGCGACGCCGCGUGAGCGAUGAAGCCCUUCGGGGUGUAAAGCUCUUUCGGCAGGGAAGAUUAUGACGGUACCUGCAGAAGCAGCUGCGGCUAACUACGUGCCAGCAGCCGCGGUAAUACGUAGGCAGCAAGCGUUGUUCGGAGUUACUGGGCGUAAAGGGUGUGUAGGCGGUUCUCUAAGUCUGGUGUGAAAUCUCCCGGCUCAACUGGGAGGGUGCGCCGAAAACUGGAG
rnacentral:rRNA from 1 species